UGAGUUUGCGCCUGCGCGUCCCUAGAGCCCGGGGACUUGGCUGACAAAGAUGGCGGCCUUAGCAACGGCUGGCGAUUGCGGUUGGAUGCCGGACUCAGUGUCGGGGCAACAGCAGCAGGUGCUCAACGCCGGCCGCGGGGAGUCGGGUGGGAAAGCCGCCUUCAGCCGGGAGCUCCGCAAACUCCGCCUGCAAAUAGCCAGUUUGGAAAAGGACAAGAGUACCCAUCUUUUCAAUAGAAGGAAUGAGUUUAGAGCUGAAUAUAGCACUCUUGAAGAACUGGAGCUGAAACUGACAAACAACAGAAAAACAGAAAAGUUGAAGGUUCAACAACAACUUGCAAAAAUACACCAUAACGUGAAGAGAUUCCAGAGCCAGCUAAUGGAUGUCAAGCCCACUCCAGAAUUUAUAGAAAAGUUGAGAGAAAUCAUGGAAGAAGUUGAAGAUGCAAUCAGUGUCUUUAAAGAAGAACAACGGCAGAUAUAUGAAGAACUUCUGAAGGAAGAAAAGACUAGCAGUCAGGAAAUUUCAGCUGUGGAAAAAAGAAUAGAAGUAUGGGCCCAGACUCCAACAGCAACUGUGACACCCAAGACUACUUUAGCAAAAGGAGUAUCAAUUAAAUCUGGUCCAGACAAUGUAUUGGCUGAAAUUGCAGAAUUUGAUAAGUUCCUUCAGCGGACUGGACGCCAAGGUGGCUGGGAUGAUUUUGACCAUCAAAACUUUCUCAAGGUCUGGAUAAAACACAAAGGAAAAGCAUCAUUCAUUGAAGAGGCUCUGCAAUAUUUGGUUGGGAGGACCCAUGAGGAUAUAAUGCAGCACGUGCAAUGGUACCAAGAGUUUCUCUUUCUGGAAGAGAGGCAGAAAGAGGCUAUUCAGAAAUGGAAAACAAAAAAGCACUAUGAAAAAGUGAAGCUGCUGAGGAUGCAAGAAGAGGCAGAAGGGGAACUGGAUGCAGUGCAUCUAGCUGAAGAAAAGGCAAAACAGCUCAGACUUGAGAAGGAGAGAAAAGAAAGGGAAGCUCAGCUGCAAUCAUGGAAGAAACAGAAAGAACUGGAACUUGCUCUUGAGAAAGAGCAACAAAUGAAGGAAGAAAUAGAGAAAAUGAGAAGGCAAAGGAAGGAAAAUCAGAGGCGGCUCGAAAUAAAAAGAAUGCUCAAAGAUUGUGCUGAACAAAAGAAGGAGAAGGAGGAGUUUCUGCGACUGGAAGCGCAAACGAGAGAGGAAGCUGAAAAAGAAGAAAGACAGUGGCUUGUAGCAAGGGAAAUCUCCAGGUUUCAAGAAAGGGAUUUUCAAAAGUUGGAGUGCAAAUUGGCAGAGAAAAGAACAAAGCAAGAGGAGAAGGAUGAACGAGAGAAGAGAUUGGCCAAGCUGAAAGAGAAGCUCUGUUCUUCAAUCAUCCUACACGGACGAGGAGGAACUGUCUUGUUUAACCAUGGUUCAGCAUCCGAAAGAACUGAAACUGCUGCUCCAGUAUCUGACUUAAAAGAGAGGUUUAACGCGUUAAACUGGAUUAUGCUGUAAAUCUACCCAGGUUGAUGCUCAAAUACAACGAGACCCGUCUAGACUAUUGAAACCUACUAAAGGCUGGGCGGAACACAUCAAAGAUACAGGCCAAAAUGGUGGUGGGCCUAUGCUGUUUCUUCCCCAUCGGGCUAUUCCAUCUUGGAGGCAAGGGAUCUA